CUGUAGGCAAUAACUCAGUCUCUGUUUAAUCCUCUGAAGGGGCUAGCAGGCAGCACUGUGCAAGAAAAGCCAAACCUUCUAGAAUAGUGCUUGUUACAAAUUGGCCUGUUGCACUGAGGUUUAGAGCUGACUUUUGCAAGCAGGCCCCAUGCCUGGCAUGAAUUUCUGAUUCAGGUUAUAAAUUGGGAUAUGAGUGGAGUGAUAUGGAGCAAAAGAUGAGAGGGGAAAAAAUGAAAUAAGAACAUCAAGAGGCAAAGAAGAAAGAACCCAACCAAAAAACCUACAAUGGGAAUAGGGAAAAGCAGGGUUCAUCUUCACAGUUCACUGAAAUAAAAAGACAAACAACCAAAAAAAUCCCCUUUUUUCUACUCCAAAGAGUUAUGUCAAAUGAUUCGGUUUCCAGAGAGAAUUUAUAGAAGAACUCAAAAAAGACUUUAAAAAUCAAAUGAGAGAGACAUUGAAGAAAAACUAAAAGUAACUAAAUAUCACUCAAGAAAAACAAGAUUAUUCAAAAAAUUUAACCAGCUAGAAGAGGAGAUACAGAGUCUUAAAGAUGAAAAUAAUUCUUUUGAAAAUUAGAAUUGGGC